GUCGAGAAUAAUUCACAAUGGACGAAAGUCUGAUGGUGCAACGCCGCGUGGAGGAUGACGGUCUUCGGAUUGUAAACUCCUGUCAUCCGGGAGUAAGACCUGGCUGUGAAUAGCAGACAGGGUUGAUAGUACCGGAAGAGGAAGGGACGGCUAACUUCGUGCCAGCAGCCGCGGUAAUACGAAGGUCCCGAGCGUUGUUCGGAAUCACUGGGCGUAAAGGGAGCGUAGGCGGCGUGGUAAGUCAGAUGUGAAAUCCCGGGGCUCAACCCCGGAACUGCAUCCGAUACUGCCGUGCUAGAGGAUUGGAGAGGUAGCUGGAAUUCUUGGUGUAGCAGUGAAAUGCGUGGAGAUCAAGAGGAACACUCGUGGCGAAAGCGAGCUACUGGACAAUAUCUGACGCUGAGGCUCGAAGGCCAGGGUAGCGAAAGGGAUUAGAUACCCGAGUAGUCC
rnacentral:rRNA from 1 species